rnacentral:tRNA from 1 species
UUCAUGUAUAAAGAAAGGCCUUUUAUUAGAA